UCCCCUAUCUCAGAAAACAUUGUAUUGUCAUUGAAUGAAGAUUAUAUUGACCCAAAUGACAACGAGUUAGAACUUCAUAACGGGGACGAACUGGCAGUCAUCCCACCAAUCAGUGGAGGAUAAACCAAUGCACACACAGAUAAUCCACGGAAACUUGAGAAGAUGAAUCACAUAGAUAUCACAGAGGAAAAGCUCAACUUGGAUCGUAUCACAGCCCUGGUCACUGCGCCCUCGUGUGGAGCGGUAUCAGUCUUCAUGGGAACAACGCGGGACAACUUUGACAACAAGCGUGUUGUAAAACUGGAGUAUGAGGCCUACGUUCCCAUGGCAAAGAAGAAAAUGGUGGAAGUUUGUGACCAGAUCCGAGCUCAGUGGCAGGUUGAACACAUCGCCAUUGUCCACAGACUUGGUGUUGUUCCUGUCACCGAGUCCAGCAUCAUCAUCGCGGUCUCCUCCCCACAUCGGAAGGAGUCGCUGACUGCCGUCUCCUAUGCCAUUGAUACCCUCAAGGCCACUGUGCCCAUCUGGAAGAAGGAAAUCUAUGAUGACCACAGUUCGGACUGGAAAGCUAACAAGGAGUGUGCAUGGGCUACACCAAACAAACAAUUAUAAUAUCAGAUCACUAUAAUAUUAUAACAAUACCCAGGGACUUUGCUGGAGACAAAUGGCAUUAGAACAUUUUUAUGAUUUUAUCAAAUCUUUAUGACUAUCACUGAUGGGUAAACUGUUGUGUGAAAUGAUCACACAACUGUAAUGUUAUGUUUUUAUGCAAAAUAUUUUAUAAUACCAGUCUGCUUUCCUCCCACAUUAAGGUGACACGCCAUGAUAUCACAUGAAUACUGCUAAAAGCGGCAUUAAGUCCAGCUCACUAACUCAGUAUACAUAUUAGGCAAACAAAAAUUACUUUGAUUAAUUCUCACUGGGAAUACUCCUGAGGUUUGAAAACAGGAUGUCUCAUUAUAUGUACUGGUAUGGAUGUGUCUCAUAUUUAAUGUAAGUUUUGUUUGUUGACAGCUAGUGAAGCCAUUUACUGGUGUAUUUAAUCUGAUGGCAAGGUUUUGCACAGUGAUAAGAAAUCAGAUUAUUCACCCACAUUUGUUGUGUAUACCGAAUUGUUAUACCUCUAUUAAGAAUCUGUGAAUUUCAUUGGUUAAUCCACAUCACAUGAUGAAACAAUAUAUUUCAAUGCUGACCUAAGUUGGCUAACAAUAGAAAACUGACCCAAAAAUGUUUACUAUUGACCUGUCACGUGAUCAAUAUUGAUUAUUUUUUUCAAGAAAACAACUUAUUGGUAAGUGGUAAUAUAUGGUUCGCUGAUCUUUCUGAAAAAGAUCUCGUU
rnacentral:misc_RNA from 1 species